AGCUUUGCACAGUGGCAGUAUUGUAGCCAAUGAGGUUUAUCCAAGGCACGAUUAUUGCUAAUUGGAAACUAUAUAGUUAUUUAUCAUAAAAAUAUGCUACUUAUGUUAGCAUAAUUGAUUUUUGUUAUUUUACAAUGGA